rnacentral:rRNA from 1 species
GACGAACGCUGGCGGCGUGCUUAACACAUGCAAGUCGAACGAAGUGGCGAACGGGUGAGUAACGCGUAAUCAACCUGCCCUUCAGAGGGGGACAACAGUUGGAAACGACUGCUAAUACCGCAUACUGAAGGCGGGGAUUGCGUCGGAUGAGCUAGUUGGAGGGGUAAAGGCCCACCAAGGGGAUGAUAGGUAGCCGGGCUGGGAGGAUGAACGGCCACAGUGGGAACGAGGAAAGGGCCAGAAUCCUGAGGGAGGCAGCAGUGGGGAAUCUUCGGACAUGGAGGGAAGUCCGACGGAGAAACGGCGGGGGAGUGAUGAAGGGCUUCGGGUUGGAAAGCUACGUUAAGCGGGAAGCGGUACCGGCAUAGAAAGCCACGGCUAACUCCGUGCCAGCAGCCGCGGUAAUAC